rnacentral:tRNA from 1 species
AAAAAAUUAGUUAAAAGUAUAACAUUAGUAUGUCAAACUAAAAUUAUUAUUAUUUUAUUAAUAUUUUUUA